UUAGUUCAGUUGGUCAGAACAACGGACUGUUAAUCCGUGUGUCGCAGGUUCGAGUCCCGCA
rnacentral:tRNA from 1 species